rnacentral:rRNA from 1 species
UCUUCGGCAAUGGACACAAGUCUGACCGAGCAACGCCGCGUGAGUGAAGAAGGUUUUCGGAUNGUAAAACUCUGUUGUUAGAGAANNCCNNNGNUGAGAGUAGAAUGUUCAUCCCUUGACGGUAUCUAACNNNANCNCCACGGCUAACUACGUGCCAGCAGCCGCGGUAAUACGUAGGUGGCAAGCGUUGUCCGGAUUUAUUGGGCGUAAAGCGAGCGCAGGCGGUUUCUUAAGUCUGAUGUGAAAGCCCCCGGCUCAACCGGGGAGGGUCAUUGGAAACUGGGAAACUUGAGUGCAGAAGAGGAGAGUGGAAUUCCAUGUGUAGCGGUGAAAUGCGUAGAUAUAUGGAGGAACACCAGUGGCGAAGGCGGCUCUCUGGUCUGUAACUGACGCUGAGGCUCGAAAGCGUGGGGAGCAAACAG